GCUUGCAUCAUGAUUUACAUUUGAGUGAGUGGCGAACUGGUGAGUAACACGUGGGAAACCUGCCCAGAAGCGGGGGAUAACACCUGGAAACAGAUGCUAAUACCGCAUAACAACUUGGACCGCAUGGUCCGAGUUUGAAAGAUGGCUUCGGCUAUCACUUUUGGAUGGUCCCGCGGCGUAUUAGCUAGAUGGUGGGGUAACGGCUCACCAUGGCAAUGAUACGUAGCCGACCUGAGAGGGUAAUCGGCCACAUUGGGACUGAGACACGGCCCAAACUCCUACGGGAGGCAGCAGUAGGGAAUCUUCCACAAUGGACGAAAGUCUGAUGGAGCAACGCCGCGUGAGUGAAGAAGGGUUUCGGCUCGUAAAACUCUGUUGUUAAAGAAGAACAUAUCUGAGAGUAACUGUUCAGGUAUUGACGGUAUUUAACCAGAAAGCCACGGCUAACUACGUGCCAGCAGCCGCGGUAAUACGUAGGUGGCAAGCGUUGUCCGGAUUUAUUGGGCGUAAAGCGAGCGCAGGCGGUUUUUUAAGUCUGAUGUGAAAGCCUUCGGCUCAACCGAAGAAGUGCAUCGGAAACUGGGAAACUUGAGUGCAGAAGAGGACAGUGGAACUCCAUGUGUAGCGGUGAAAUGCGUAGAUAUAUGGAAGAACACCAGUGGCGAAGGCGGCUGUCUGGUCUGUAACUGACGCUGAGGCUCGAAAGUAUGGGUAGCAAACAGGAUUAGAUACCCUGGUAGUCCAUACCGUAAACGAUGAAUGCUAAGUGUUGGAGGGUUUCCGCCCUUCAGUGCUGCAGCUAACGCAUUAAGCAUUCCGCCUGGGGAGUACGGCCGCAAGGCUGAAACUCAAAGGAAUUGACGGGGGCCCGCACAAGCGGUGGAGCAUGUGGUUUAAUUCGAAGCUACGCGAAGAACCUUACCAGGUCUUGACAUACUAUGCAAAUCUAAGAGAUUAGACGUUCCCUUCGGGGACAUGGAUACAGGUGGUGCAUGGUUGUCGUCAGCUCGUGUCGUGAGAUGUUGGGUUAAGUCCCGCAACGAGCGCAACCCUUAUUAUCAGUUGCCAGCAUUAAGUUGGGCACUCUGGUGAGACUGCCGGUGACAAACCGGAGGAAGGUGGGGAUGACGUCAAAUCAUCAUGCCCCUUAUGACCUGGGCUACACACGUGCUACAAUGGAUGGUACAACGAGUUGCGAACUCGCGAGAGUAAGCUAAUCUCUUAAAGCCAUUCUCAGUUCGGAUUGUAGGCUGCAACUCGCCUACAUGAAGUCGGAAUCGCUAGUAAUCGCGGAUCAGCAUGCCGCGGUGAAUACGUUCCCGGGCCUUGUACACACCGCCCGUCACACCAUGAGAGUUUGUAACACCCAAAGUCGGUGGG
rnacentral:rRNA from 2 species